rnacentral:lncRNA from 1 species
AGAGCCACCUAAGCUGAAGAUUCCCUUGAGAACAAGUACUGUCCUGCGGUUUCAUGGCCUUUCUUCCAUUUGUGGUUCUUGCGAAGUGGAAUUUAAAUGACAUCUUAUCAAGAUGGAUAAACCCUAGUUUCCCAGUGCUGGAAUAUAGAAAAUGGAUGGACAAGUAAAUCCCACUCAGCACCCAUAGUCCAGCUGGACCUACCAUGAAAGACUUCUGAAUCCAGGAAGAGAAACUGGCUGGGCAACAUGUUAUUCAGAAACAGGACCUUGCCCUGUCACUCAGGAUGGAGUUCAGUGGUCCUAUCAUGGCUCAUUAUAGCCUCAAACUCCCAGGCUCAAGCAAUCCUACCAUGUCAGCCUUCCCAGUAGCUGGGACUACAGGCUGGAGUACAGUGGCACAACCUCUGCUCACUGCAGCCUCCACCUGCCAGGCUCAAGCAAUGCUCCUGCCUCAGCUUCCCGAGUAGCUGGGAUUACAGG